UACGUAGGGGCCUAGCGUUGUCCGGAAUUAUUGGGCGUAAAGAGCUCGUAGGCGGUUCGGCAAGUCGGAUGUGAAAUCUCCACGCUUAACGUGGAGGGGCCAUUCGAAACUGCUGUGACUCGAGUCCGGUAGGGGAGUGUGGAAUUCCCGGUGUAGCGGUGAAAUGCGCAGAUAUCAGGAGGAACACCGAUGGCGAAGGCAGACU
rnacentral:rRNA from 1 species